AGCGAACGUUAGCGGCGGGCCUAACACAUGCAAGUCGAACGAGAAUAGGGGAGCAAUCCCCUUAGUAAAGUGGCGGACGGGUGCGUAACACGUGGGUAAUCUACCUUCCAGCGGGGGACAACCGUCCGAAAGGAUGGCUAAUACCGCAUACGUCGGCGAGGUCUACGGAUCUUGUCGGGAAAGAUGGCCUCUCCUUGGAAGCUGUCACUGGAAGAUGAGCCCGCGGCCCAUCAGCUAGUUGGUGAGGUAACGGCUCACCAAGGCUAUGACGGGUAGCUGGUCUGAGAGGAUGAUCAGCCACACUGGAACUGCGACACGGUCCAGACUCCUACGGGAGGCAGCAGUGGGGAAUAUUGGGCAAUGGGCGAAAGCCUGACCCAGCCACGCCGCGUGAGUGAUGAAGGCC
rnacentral:rRNA from 1 species